rnacentral:rRNA from 1 species
GAUGAACGCUAGCGAUAGGCCUAACACAUGCAAGUCGAGGGGCAGCACAUGAGUAGCAAUACGAUGGUGGCGACCGGCGCACGGGUGAGUAACACGUAUGCAACCUACCUUUAACAGGGGAAUAACCCGUUGAAAAACGGACUAAUACUCCAUAACACAGGGGUCCCGCAUGGGAAUAUUUGUUAAAGAUUUAUCGGUUGAAGAUGGGCAUGCGUUCCAUUAGCUUGUUGGUGAGGUAACGGCUCACCAAGGCCACGAUGGAUAGGGGAACUGAGAGGUUUAUCCCCAACACUGGAACUGAGACACGGUCCAGACUCCUACGGGAGGCAGCAGUGAGGAAUAUUGGUCAAUGGAGGCAACUCUGAACCAGCCAAGUCGCGUGAAGGAUGAAGGUCUUAUGGAUUGUAAACUUCUUUUGCAAGGGAAUAAAGUGGGGGACGUGUCCUCCUUUGCAUGUACCUUGCGAAUAAGGAUCGGCUAACUCGGUGCCAGCCGCCGCAGUAA